CGUCUGGAGAAGUUGCCCCCGGGGCUCCAGGCUCAAGGUCCCCACCAGAUCUCCAUCCGGACCCUUUCACGACCCCGAGCCCUUUCCCCAGGAGCUCCCAGCAGCCUUCGCGCUUCUCCGGAGGGUGGGGACUGCCGCGGCGCGGGGGCAGCCUCGCCCCACCUCUCUGGUGGACUCCAGAGAACCGUUUCUGGGACCGGGAGCUGUCCAGCACCUCGGGUCCUGACGGACCGCUGAUUCGCCUAGGUGCCAUCGGACAAGCGGGUGCUCAGAGCCAGCGCUGGUGGCUCGGGAGCUUUCCCCCAACCAGGCUAAGACCACUAAACCACGCCUGGGCCGGAUGAGCUUGGAUGCAGCUCCGGACGUGGGGAUCCAUCGGUGCUGAGAACUGACCUAGGGAGCACCUUGACCCCUGCCCUAUCUGGGCACAAUUGAAGGGCCAAGUGCCACCAGACCACUUUCCUGGAACCCUGUCUCAGAUUUGGGCAGGAAGAAGAGCCACGAGAGAGUUUCACUUUUGUCACCCAGCAUGGAGUGCAAUGGUGGAUCUUGGCUCACUGCAACCUCCGCCUCCCAGGUUCAAGCUAUUCUCCUGCCGCAGCCUCCCAAGUAGCUGGGAUUAUAGACGUGCGCCACCACGCCCGGCAAAUUUUUGUAUUUUUAGUUGAGAUGGGGUUUCGCCAUAUUGGCCAGGCUGGUCUCGAACUCCUGACCUCAGAUGAUCCACCCGCCUUGGGCGCCCAAAGUGCUGGGAUUACAGGUGUGAGCCACCACACCUGGCCAGAGUGCAGAAGUGAUGCUAUGCCAGUUCCUGCCAGCUUCCACUUGUGUACUUUUGGAAGCUCUGAGCCACUGUGUAAGAAGUUCAGC